UGGGUGAUGGGAGAAAAUGAAUUUUUCUUCUUGGCUUUUCAUGCUACACAUCAUUAACUAACUAAAGACACUAAAAUACAUUGAAAUCUAACCAAAUCAAGCAUCAAAACCUCCCUCUAAGUGUUUGGCCAGCAAGAGACCCAUCAUGAAAUCAUGUGAUUCAACCAUGGAAAAUGAAAAAGAAUGUAUGGGAAAGGUAGAUCACAGGUCAAAAUGAAGAAAUUUUACCUUUGAUUUCUUGAUUACUUGACAUCCACCAAUUUUCUCUUGAAUUUUCACUCUAGGGUUUUUGUUCUUCCUUUUCUUCCUUUGUUCUUGCUUUGGC
rnacentral:lncRNA from 1 species